GACUGUACUAACUUUGUGAAAAUAGCGCUCGGAUAAAUUGUAUGUAUAACUUGUUGCAGCGUCUGUUUCAAGGUUUUUACUUCGUUGUUUAUUAUUUACCACUAUGUAAAAUAUUAAUCUUGUGUUCUGGGACGUUUUUUUUCCCAGCUGCGUAGAGAAAUACUCUAUACUGUAAAGAGUUGGCAUGAUAUAAACAAACUGGGAUAACAGACUGGCAUCUGAGACUCUUGUAUUGAUUCAAUAAUGCAGGAUUGCUUUCCUAUCGAUUAGUUGAUCAAGUGAAAGUUAUAACUCAUGGAUAGAAUCUAAAAUUGCAAAGAUACAAAAUGGAUGACGAUAUAGAAGAAGAAUCUAUGUUAAAAGCAGCAGAUUUUGCAAGAAAUAGACGAACUGAUGACGUCAGGCGAAGAUCAAAACACCCUCAUGGAGUAACAGAAACUUCAACACAAACACAUGACUUGAACCACAAUUCAAGUAAAAGUACAAGAUCGACUAUAUCACGUGAUUGGUUUCUUUGGAAGCAGACGACACUGUUGUGCUCAUUGACCUUUGCCAGCGUUCUUGGUACAAUAACCCAAAUUAAACAAAUGAUGAAUAUAGGGACCAAUCACAAGAAUUACAGCUUAUUGUUGUGUGUAAUGCUAAGUUCUCUCCUUCUUCAGUGCUUUGUAGCUAUAUUUUUGCUAAUACUCACUCACAAGUCACCUGAUUGGCUGAAAGAUAUUAACCACGGGACUGCUCUUAUCCAACGGACAAUCAAUAUCAUUAUGGCGGCAGUUUUUGUUGUAUCGUUAAUGGAAAUUUGUGAAUUUGUGCUUAUGAAUUAAAUGAAAGUAUAUAUUGGAGUCAGUGGAUUAAAUUUACAAAGAUUUAAUAUAUGAAUUCAAAAAGUUAUUUAGUAUAAAACAAUAGAAGACAUAAAACAAAGACAGAUGUUUCGAAAAAGUGUUACAAUUCUUUUUGGAACAUGCACAUACAAAAGGUUGUUUGAACUAAUUUCGCAGCACUUAAGAAACGAUUAUGUAUGUAUUCACUAUCACAAAAGUAUGUCAUAGUAGACACUGUUAAAGUUGAUAUGAUCUCAAUUAUGUGUAAAAAGAAAAAUGUAUAGAAUUUACAGCUUCUUAAGUGUGAUUGACACUGUUAUUAUGUGUAAUGCUGUUAUAUUCACACAAUCAAAAUGCGUAUAUAGCAGUGUUUUAGUUUUGACGCACGUUUAUAAAUAUCAAGACCUUAAGGAUUUUAUACUGGCUGACGGUACAGACCGGAAUAUCUAGCUCGAGGGUAACUGUUAACGGCGGUAAUGAGGUUCUGGCACCGGUGUAAAGAGUAAAUAAUCAUGUCUGAUAUGCAAGAAAAGUACAAGAAUUUGUCACUGUUACGUUGUAUGCUUGUUGGCAUUAUUCAUUUAAAAUAGUGCUUAUAUCUGGAUUAAGCACUCAAGGGCUUAGUCUCAUUUAAAAUAUGCACUUACUAUAUUAUAUCAAACAGUAUGUUCGUAAGAAUAAAAAUGGUCAAUAGAUGCA